rnacentral:rRNA from 1 species
UACAGGGGGGGCAAGCGUUGUUCGGAAUUACUGGGCGUAAAGGGCUCGUAGGUGGCCAACUAAGUCGGACGUGAAAUCCCUCAGCUUAACUGGGGAACUGCGUCCGAUACUGGAUGGCUUGAGUUUGGGAGAGGGAUGCGGAAUUCCAGGUGUAGCGGUGAAAUGCGUAGAUAUCUGGAGGAACACCGGUGGCGAAGGCGGCGAUCCUGGACCAACACUGACACUGAGGAGCGAAAGCCAGGGGAGCAAACGGG